AAUUACUGGGCGUAAAGAGUACGUAUGCGGUUAUUCAAGUCAGAGGUGAAAGCCUGGAGCUCAACUCCAGAACUGCCUUUGAAACUAGAUAGCUAGAAUCUUGGAGAGGUGAGUGGAAUUCCGAGUGUAGAGGUGAAAUUCGUAGAUAUUCGGAAGAACACCAGUGGCGAAGGCGACUCACUGGACAAGUAUUGACGCUGAGGUACGAAAGCGUGGGGAGCAAACAGGAUUAGAUACCCUGGUAGUCCACGCCGUAAACGAUGAUAACUAGCUGUUCGGGCUCUACGAGCUUGAGUGGCGCACUAACGCAUUAAGUUAUCCGCCUGGGGAGUACGGUCGCAAGAUUA
rnacentral:rRNA from 1 species